GUACUUUUCGGCAGCACAUAUUUUACAAUUGGAAUGAUACAGAGAACAUUUGCAUGGUCCCUGCUCAAGGAUGACAUGCAAAUUCGUGAAGCAUUACAUAUUAAA
ensembl:snRNA U6 U6 spliceosomal RNA